CAAUAGCGUAUAUUAAAGUUGUUGCAGUUAAAAAGUUCGUAGUUGGGUUUCUGGGAGGGUGCCGCCGUCCGGCGUGUCCGUGUGCAGUGGCGCCCUUCCAUCCUUCUGUUAGCGUCUCUUGGCAUUCAUUUGCUGGUGGCGGGCUCAGAUAUUUUACCUUGAGAAAAUUAGAGUGUUUCAGGCAGGCUAGGCCGGAAUACAUUAGCAUGGAAUAAUGGAAUAGGACUACGGUCUCUUUGUUGGUUUGAGGGACUGCAGUAAUGAUUAAUAGGGAUAGUUGGGGGCAUUAGUAUUUAAUUGUCAGAGGUGGAAUUCUCAGAUUUGUUAAAGACUAACUUAUGCGAAANCANNNGCCAAGGAUGUUUUCAUNAA
rnacentral:rRNA from 1 species